ensembl:lncRNA
AAUUCAUCCCAGCAUCAGUGAAGUCAGAGUGUGAUUUACCACUGAAGUCGAUAGCCCUGGAUUGCAGCCAGGUAAUGUAAAAUGGACUUAGAGGCGUGCUCAGCACAAAGGUAUGUCCUUGAGAAAGCAGGUUAAUGCAAGCAAGAGCUGCCCUCUGGAACUUCAUGCAGACUAGCACUUGGAUGUCUUCAGGAAAUGAACACAAGUGGGAAAGUAUCUGUGAUGGAAAAGGGACUUGGCUUACUCUAAGGGUGGAAAUGAAGCAAAUCAGGCCUGGACAGACUGGAGAGGGCUUCAGACACAGAACAAAUCGAGGGCUGCCAAUCACUGUCUGACCCAAAGAAAGAAGCUGUGUAUCUCCAGGGGUAUGAACAUGGCAAUACUGCAAGUCUUCAUGAUAUAGAAAAGUCCAAAAUUCAUAAGGAGCUGCACUAAAUACAUGGGCAUAUUCAUCAGAAGCCCACGUACGUGAUCCUUGGGAAAGACUAAUAUCAACUGUCAUAUUUCAAACCAGUUUAAAAACAAACAAACAAACGAAACCCACACACAGAGCAACAAUCCACUAUGAGCAGCAAACUUGUCCCGGUAUUUACUGAUUUUUUAACUACAAGGACAAUUUUUCUAAUUCUGUUGCCAUCAGUGUUUGCUUUUUAAUAGGGAGCUCUACCAGAAUAUUCUCUCAUCCAGAUAUCAUCAAAAUUAAUCAUAAUUUACAUCAACUUCCCUCAGUCUAAAAUCAGGCCCUGUACUGCCUGUUAGCAGAACUGCAAGGAGAACUGGUGGAUGGGGAUAAGCAAGCAACGAAGAUCAAUCUCUGGGUACUUGAAGUACAGACAGAAUAUCAAAGUACAACAGGCUGCCUCUUCAAGGCAUGUACCUGAUUGUUCACAAGGACUCACUCCAACUUCCUGCACACACUUAGACCAUUAAGGCUGGAAAAGAUCAUCUAGUCCAACUGUCAACUGUCUCCACCAUAGGUCUCUACCACCAUUCUACUGCUCGUUGGAAUAGCAUCCUAAUGGCCAUUUCAUCAAACAGAUGCAAAAAAUGCAUGUGAUCUCUGUGACAUGCUCCAGAUCUAUGAAAUAAAAGAGGAGAAAUGGAAGUCCAUUUCUUGUCCAGACAAGAAAAAUAAAAACUCAGUUUUCCUUUAUCCGUCAGUACAGUAAAUGCUAGGGACUGGAUUCUCAUGUUUAUCAAUGCUAUGAUAUACUGUUCACAAAGUAUACAAGCAUUUCAGAACAGGCAAAAACUAUGUUGACCUCUUGCUUACAUUUUCCUUACCCUUUGCAGCAAGGUAAAAUAUUGAGAAAAUAUUGUCUACAUUGGGGUCUAGUUCUAUUUGUGAGCUUUCAAGUUACAAGACAAAAAAGUUCUAAGAAUAAAAACAAACAAAAACCAACCACCUGCCAAUGAUUCAUUUCUAUAAACGUUACUUCACGCACUCAGACAUGUUUCCUAAAACUGGUUUUGAUUCCCAGCAAGACCUCACUACAGACACCAAGAUGCCAGGACUUGCCCAUUAUUUGGGAUAUAUUUACAUGCACUGGGAGACAGGUUCAGCAAUCAGCAGAGGCAGCACACCUGCUCCCACCAACAUUUCCAGGCGCUGAUCAGACUUGCAGGGUCUGAGAAGAAGUUGUUUGCAUUUUUUCCUAUCUUGUUAACACUGCCAGUAGGAAUUACAUUCCUCAGAUAAAGCUCAGUCUGGCUCCUUAAAAUGUUCCAGACCUCAAGGAUCAUUUCUGCCUGGCCCUGCCAAGCACAUCCCUUCUCCACACCUCACUCCUCUCCUCAAGGCACCUCUGUGUGCCUGCUUCUGUGUGGCUGCCAUAGAAUCAUGGAAUCAUUAAGGUUGGAAAAGAC